UACGGGGGGAGCAAGCGUUGUUCGGAUUUACUGGGCGUAAAGGGCGCGUAGGCGGUCAGCACAAGUCGGUUGUGAAAUCUCCGGGCUCAACCCGGGAAGUGCUUCUGAUACUGUUUGGCUUGAGUACUGGAGAGGAUAGUAGAAUUCCAGGUGUAGUGGUGAAAUACGUAGAUAUCUGGAGGAACACCGGUGGCGAAGGCGGCAUCCUGGACCAAUUCUGACGCUGAGGAGCGAAAGCGUGGGGAGCAAACAGG
rnacentral:rRNA from 1 species